rnacentral:rRNA from 1 species
UACGUAGGGCGCAAGCGUUGUCCGGAAUUAUUGGGCGUAAAGAGCUCGUAGGCGGUUUGUCACGUCGGGUGUGAAAGCCCGGGGCUUAACCCCGGGUCUGCAUUCGAUACGGGCAGACUAGAGUGUGGUAGGGGAGAUCGAAUUCCUGGUGUAGCGGUGAAAAUGCGCAGAUAUCAGGAGGAACACCGGUGGCGAAGGCGGAUCUCUGGGCCAUUACUAACGCUGAGGAGCGAAAGCGUGGGGAGCGAACAGG